rnacentral:rRNA from 1 species
GCAUCGAUGAAGAACGCAGCGAAAUGCGAUACGUAAUGUGAAUUGCAGAAUUCAGUGAAUCAUCGAGUCUUUGAACGCAUCUUGCGCUCUCUGGUAUUCCGGAGAGCAUGUCUGUUUGAGUGUCAUGAAUUCUUCAACCCAAUCUUUUCUUGUAAUCGAUUGGUGUUUGGAUUCUGAGCGUUGCUGGCUUUAUUGCUCAGCUCGUUCGUAAUACAUUAGCAUCCCUAAUACAAGUUUGGAUUGACUUGGCGUAAUAGACUAUUCGCUAAGGAUUCGGUGGAAACAUCGAGCCAACUUCAUUAAGGAAGCUCCUAAUUUAAAAGUCUACCUUUUGAUUAGAUCUCAAAUCAGGCAGGAUUACCCGCUGAACUUAAGCAUAUCAAUAAGCGGAGGA